UGGCAACUGAGGGCAUGUAAUUUUUUGUGUCCUUCCCUUUAUGAUUGAAAGAGAUGGGUGUUUGAGAUGCUAUUCGCCAGAAUGAAAACAUUAGACACCCUCUCGUUCUCUUUCUGCUCCUCUCACAAUGCAGGCCCAUUCAGAACACAAUUGUGAUACUCCUGGACAGGACGUGAAAAAGAUAAAUUGGCAAAAUCAGAAAGAUGCAUUGCCCCCCAGAAUGCUCGAUGAGGACGACUUUUGCAGGACUUCUGGUUUUUCGGGAGAUGAGGAUCACAGUAGUGGAAGUUUACACGUUCACUACUCUCAUUAUCAGUUUAAAAAAAAAGAAGAAGAAGAAAAAUAGGGGAAAAAUGUGUUUAUAAGGAGGAAAAUAGAUUUCUGCAGCUCGCUGGCCAGAACCACUUUCUCUGUCUGUCCACUUAAUUGGGAGGACUCGGCACGCAUUUCUCCUCAUCCCUGUAUUUUGUUCGCUUGGAGAAGGCUUCGCUGCAGUUUCAAGACUUUGCGUGCUCCUCUCCAUUUGAUUUCAACAGCAAGAGAGCCACCAUGAUGGGUACCCUUCAGAUGUGGAAAGUGUUCAAGGGAGUUUGGUGGCUGCAAAUAGAGCUGGGAGUCCAUUUAAUCCGAUUAGCAGUUCCGCAAAAUGGGCCUCGACCCAUUGUGGACAGAAGCCUUUACUUUAUUUGUUUCCAUUAGCCAAGAAUCAGUUAUCAGAAAAGUGGAAUUUUGCCCCAUCAGAUUGCCCAGACAAUCAACAGAAAAUAAAUGAGGAAAUAGUCUAAUGUGUCAAUAUUUGUCUUUUGGCCCUAAUUGUCCACAGAGGGGACUUGCUGAGUGUGUGAAGUUGGCAGCCUGGGUUUAUCUGUGUACUCUUGAUGGUUUUUCCCACUGUGUAGGCACCGGAGCCGCUACGUGCACAGUAAUGACAUCUCAAAGGCCAACAGCACUGGCUGGAGAAUAAAGGCGUUUUAAAGGUCUAAGAACACUGGAUUGAAGAGCCAAGGAGAACCCUUGAUGGAUGAGGAGGAAGGCAGAGCCCAGCAAAUGACAAGGCAUUUGUGACCAGGUUUCCAAUGCCGGAGUGAGGUAGAACAAAAGUACUGAAGAGACAGGAGCUUCCGUUCCUGCCCCGGUGCCAGCUUGUCUUUCCCGUUUCCCAGGAAGCUCAGCUGACUACAAGCCUACGGGGGUACGGCCCUCCUCUUAUUUCUGUUGCCUCUUGUUAGUUGAGAAAUGUUAGUGUCUCAAAUUGUUUUAGUCCCUCAAAUUGCCUUUAAGGAUAAUGGUAAUAAAAUGAUUUAAGCUACAA
rnacentral:lncRNA from 1 species